rnacentral:rRNA from 1 species
UACAGAGGUGGCAAGCGUUGCUCGGAAUCACUGGGCGUAAAGCGCACGUAGGCGGAUUGUUAAGUCAGGGGUGAAAUCCUGGAGCUCAACUCCAGAACUGCCUUUGAUACUGGCGAUCUUGAGUCCGGGAGAGGUGAGUGGAACUGCGAGUGUAGAGGUGAAAUUCGUAGAUAUUCGCAAGAACACCAGUGGCGAAGGCGGCUCACUGGCCCGGUACUGACGCUGAGGUGCGAAAGCGUGGGGAGCAAACAGG